rnacentral:rRNA from 1 species
AUGACAGCCAUGGCUGAAGGGUGUGUUGGUCCUAGUGAGCUUCACUUGAAGAAAGAACUUACUGCCUUGCGAAAGGCACGGUUCCUGCGUGAUCCUGAAACAUGCUCAUCCUGGAGGGGCCCAUUGAGUUCUAGAUCAUGCAUGACAAGUUCUAGCAUUAUAAAUCACAAUGAGAUUGUUGGUAACUUGACACAAAAGUACACUGAGCCAUCCGUCGGGCCUCUGAAAAGUGAAAAGAAAAGGAAAAAUGUUUAUCUUUACAAUUGGAGGCAUCACUCUAACAAAUCCAGUGAAAGUGGGAUUAAUUUUGAUCAGGAUGACAGGAGCCUGGAAAGCCCAUGCAUUUCUAAUGUUAUGGACUCUAGGAGUGACACAUGUCUGGAGGUUCCUGUUAGCAUAUAUAGUGUCCAAGGCUCGAACUCAGGCACUCCUGUUAAAAGAACUAUUAGGAGGGUGAGGAGGAGUUCAUUCUCAAAGAAGGGAGCAAUGCGAAAUUCAACAGUUUCAAAGCUGCUAGAUCUCCAUGUUAACUCUGGUGAGCAGUCUGAGGAUACUGAGACUUAUAACUCAGAGAAUCAUGAGCUGCUUCAGAAGGGCGGCUACUUUUCUCGAUCAACAUCACCGUUGUUUGCUGCUUCUGGAUGUCUCAGCUCAUCAAAUCCCUCUAAGCUGUUGAAAAUGGCAAGAAGAGAAGGAUCUUCCUUUUCUUGCACUCCGGUCUCCACUAGCUCUUAUUACAGGUACAGAGGCAGGAAUCCCAGCACUGUUGGCUCAUGGGAUGCAACAACUGCUGCUUCACUUGAUGACGAUGGGCUGAACCAACAAGCACCGCUGAGAAGUCAAAGGUGUGGUAUUCCAUAUUGGUCAAAGGGGAGUAAACAAAGAAGCUGUUCUCCUUCACUAUCUGAUACACUUAGACGAAAAGGAAGCAGCCUGUUGUGUGGAAGUCAGACAAUGCACAGAAGGAAGAGAUCAUCUGGCUCCAACAAAUGUGGAUAUCUUAAAAAAUCUUCCCAAGGCGAGCCACUCUUGGGUGAUAGUUGCCAUUUUUCUUACUCGUCAUUUGAUUCAGCAAGCGAGGGAGUUUCAACCAUAUUUGGAGAACUAGAUUUAGAAGCUUUGAGCCGGUUGGAUGGCAGAAGGUGGUCAAGCUGUAAAAGCCAGGAUGGGAUUGCUGUGCCUUUGAGUGGAGCUGAUCAUGCAGUUUCAGACCAGAGAAGCUUGAGCCAGAAGUACCGUCCAAGAUCAUAUCAUGAAAUUGUUGGUCAAAACUUUGUAGUACAAUCACUUAGUAAUGCCAUCAUAAGGGAGAGAAUAGCCCCAGCAUACCUGUUUCAUGGGCCUCGUGGAACAGGAAAGACUUCUGCUGCGAGAAUCUUUUCAGCAGCUUUAAGUUGCACUGCUAAUGGAGAGAAUAAGCCCUGUGGGGUUUGUAUGGAGUGUAAUGACUUUUUCUCCGGAAAUGGAAUUAAUCUAAUUGAAGUUGAUGCUAGCAAUAGAAAAGGUAUAAACAGAAUUAGGCACUUGAUUGAAAACAUACCAGCAUCAGCAACUUCUUCACGAUACAAGGUGUUUGUUGUUGAUGAAUGCCAUAUGGUAUCUUCUAAAGUCUGGUCAGCAUUCAUGAAAUUUCUUGAUGAACCAUUACCUCAUGUUGUAUUUAUAUUCAUCACCAUAGACCCUGAAAACCUUCCUCGUGCUGUCAUAUCACGUUGUCAGAAAUACAUGUUUUCAAAGAUCAAAGACAUUGACAUAGUCUGCCGGUUGAGGAAAAUUGCUGUGAAGGAAACUCUUGAUAUCGAAUUGGCAGCUUUAGAUUUGAUAGCACUAAAUUCAGAUGGAUCGCUAAGAGAUGCAGAGACAAUGUUAGAUCAGCUGAGUUUGCUAGGGAAGAAGAUCACACCGUCACUUGUAAAUGAUCUGGUUGGGGUUGUUUCAGAGGAGAAUUUGCUUGAUCUUCUAGAGAUAGCUAUGUCAUCAGACACUGCUGAAACAGUCAAAAGGUCAAGAGAACUGAUGGAUUCUGGGGUUGAUCCGAUGGCAUUAAUGUCUCAAUUAGCUGGGCUCAUAAUGGACAUCAUUGCCGGGACCUAUAGAUUAGCUGACCCUACGUGCGGUGAAGGAAUUGGUGGUCGAAAUAUAACUGAUGCCGAGUUAGAAAGAUUACAACAAGCAUUGAAGAUUCUUUCUGACGCUGAAAAGCAGAUAAGACUUUCCAGUGAGCGUUCAACAUGGUUCACUGCAGCUCUGCUCCAGCUUGGUUCUGGGCAUGAUUCAGAAAUAACCCAUUCAAGAAGCAGCAGUAAACAAAGUGCUAAAGCAGCCAGUGAGACCAUGUUAGAAGCAGUAAGAGAAUCCUCUGCAAGCAGGAGUGUGUCUCAUCCUCUAUUUACUAUUCGCGGUUCAAGGAAAACAUUGGACCACAGAACAGCCAGUGGGCACUCCAGUCCUCAUGAUCUUGCUUCAUUAUCUUCCCGGAUGAGGCCCAGUGACAACUUAAUUUAUGGAGAAUGUAGAUCUGUUGAUAGAGUUCUAUUGGAUUCUGCUCAAGCAAGUAAUUCUACUGAGCAAAAGCCUAUAAUUAAUGGAAGCUCAGACCUUGUCCAAAUUUGGCGAAAAUGCAUAGACAAUUGUCACUCAAAGACGUUGCAGCAGCUACUCUCUGAUCAUGGGAAACUAACAUCCAUCAAAGAAUUUGAAGGCUAUUUAGUUGCUUUCAUAUCAUUUGAGGACAGCAAAAUAAUGUCUCGUGCCCAAAGAUUUGUGAGUAGCAUCAGAAAUUCGAUGGAGACAGCACUGAGAUGCAACGUGGAAGUCAGAGUCGGUUUAAUGUCUGAAUUUCUUGCUGGACGACUCAAGCUUGAGGUGGACCUGGAAGAAAGAGCUGAGCCUGAUGUCUUGAGUUGCUCAACAAACAGUGACCGACUAAAGGGAAUUCUUAAUGCCCCAAGAAGCUUAGGGUAUUCUGAAGAGAUCGAAAAAAAACUGGAGAAAUACAGCAAUACUUCAGCUGCCGGUGGAGGGGUGCAGUCAGACAUCACUGAAGGAAAUGCAGGAAUGCAUAGGGCUAGAGGGCAAGGAGUCCCCGCUGAACGAUCAAAAGCAGUAACUGUUGAGGAGCAAAGGUUAGAGAGUGCAUGGCUCCAAGCUGUUGAAAAGCACACACCUGGGGUGAGACCUGAGAAAUACCAAGUUGUGCCACAAACUGGUGGUGGUCAGUACCACAAGAAGUCCUCACUGGCCACUGUUGUGCCCUCAAGGAAUAUUGACAAGGAUUUGAGUAAUGGAUUGAAAGCUUUAAAGAUCAGUGAGAGUCAUGGUUCCCAGAAGGGUCAGAAUGUAGGAAUGGAGAAUGGAUUUGUGAUUUCACCAAGCCUCUUGCACAGUAAUAAUGAAUUGGCAAAUUGCGACAACGAGAGUGUGGCCUCUGAGUCCGGAGCACCAGGUUGUCAUGGCCUCUUCCCCUGCUGGAAAACUGAAAAAUCAAAAAGAGGAAAGGCAAAACGGCAGACUCGUUUGAAGCCAUCUUAA